CUAGGAAAGAAACCUUGACUGGUUCCCCAGGAUGAGAGCCAUGUCAUUGGUCAGCAGUGAUUCUGAAGGAGAACAGAAUGAGCUGAGAAACCUGCAGGAGAAGCUGGAGUCCACCAUGAAACUUGUCACGAACCUUUCUGGCCAGCUGUCGGAAUUAAAGGAUCAGAUGACAGAACAAAGGAAGCAGAAACAAAGAAUCGGUCUUCUAGGACAUCCUCCUCACAUGAAUGUCAACCCACAACAACCGGCAUAAGCAAAUGAAAGAAAGGAAUUGUAUUUACCUUUUAUAAUGAUUAUUAGUGUGGGUAUGGCUAAUGAGUUCUGAUUCACCCACGAAGGUUACAUUUAUGCUGAAUACAUUUGUAAAUACUCAGUUUUAUACUGUAUGUAUAUGAUUGCUACUCUAAAGGUUUGGAUAUAUGUAUUGUAAUUAGAAUUGUUGGCAUGAUGACAUUUCAUUUGUGCCAAAAAUAUUGAAAAUGCCUUUUUUGGAAGGACUAACAGAAAGCACCUGAUUUGCACUUGAACCAG
rnacentral:lncRNA from 1 species